CUCAGGACGAACGCUGGCGGCGUGCCUAAUACAUGCAAGUCGAACGGUCUUUCUAUGGAAGCUUGCUCCACUGAGAAGAUAGUGGCGAACGGGUGAGUAACACGUGGGUAACCUGCCCAUAAGAGGGGGGAUAACAUCCGGAAACGGGUGCUAAUACCGCAUAGUUUUCUUGGUCGCAUGAUCGGGAAAGGAAAGACGGCCUUUGUGCUGUCGCUUAUGGAUGGACCCGCGGCGUAUUAGUUAGUUGGUGAGGUAACGGCUCACCAAGACGAUGAUACGUAGCCGACCUGAGAGGGUGAUCGGCCACAUUGGGACUGAGACACGGCCCAAACUCCUACGGGAGGCAGCAGUAGGGAAUCUUCCGCAAUGGACGAAAGUCUGACGGAGCAACGCCGCGUGAGUGAAAGAAGGUUUUCGGAUCGUAAAACUCUGUUGUCAGAGAAGAACAAGUUGGAGAGUAACUGCUCCAGCCUUGACGGUAUCUGACCAGAAAGCCACGGCUAACUACGUGCCAGCCGCCGC
rnacentral:rRNA from 1 species